AUUAAUUCCUAGGGCUGGAACCCUAUUAAUGUUCUACAGAAUUACAGGGCAGGCUGGAUGAAGACUCUCAGCUGACAAUGUGGACAUCUCAAGACAGGCACUGGACAAUGGCUGACAGACUUGUAUGAAGACUGGAAAUGUUUUGCUAUCUCAGAGGAAAAGAAGGCCCCUCCGACUACACUGUACUCUAAGGACAGUUUAUUCAGGUGCUUCCUACACAAGAAGUCACAUGACCACAGAGUGUCAUUUGUCAAAGAACCAAGAACUUGUUCAAAACUCUACAGAGCAUCCAAUCUAUCACGUGGAUAUGCAAUAAUGAGGUAUGUUAUUAAUCUGUCACCAUUUCUAGACUGCAGCUUCAAAAAGAGCAGACAAAUAUACUUGCAAAAUAAUUCAGUUUCUGAAAAGUGGUUGGCUUCCCAGAAUACUUGUGCAUAGGCAGAGCAAUGAACAAUUCCAUUACAUGAGGUGGUUGGCUGGUUGUGAGUGUAAAUUAGAAAGGUGGUAGGAGAGAGCAAAGAUGUAUCAAAUUGGCAAACUUUAGCAGAUAUUUUUAAGCUAACACAGCUGCUCAACCCUACCAGAUGAUGCUGGGUCUGGACGUUGCUGGUCUUUAUCUUUCUUGUUGAAGUCAACCAAAUAUUUCUGGUUCAGUGCACAAUCAAGAUGUACCUCCUUGCUCUCCUGCUUCAGUGGGAACAACUUCUUCCUACAUGUGUUCUCCAUCAGGAGCUGGCUGAGCAGGUUUCUGGAAAUACAGUCUGCAUAGUAAGACCAUGCUGCCCCUUUCUCCCAUUCCCACUCCCGAGUGCCACUAACUCCACCAGGACCCAGAUACCCAUGAAGACUUAAUAGAAUUCAUUUCGAUACAUAUAAGGCUGCUGCACAAACCACAAAGAGUAAAUUCCGGGAAGAAU